rnacentral:rRNA from 1 species
GACGAACGCUGGCGGCGUGCUUAACACAUGCAAGUUGAGCGGUAAGGCCCUUUCGGGGGUACGACGAGCGGCGAACGGGUGAGUAACACGUGGGUGACCUGCCUUUAGCUCUGGGAUAAGCCUGGGAAACCGGGUCUAAUACCGGAUAUGACUCCGCGGCGCAUGUUGUGGGGUGGAAAGCCUUGUGCGGCUGGAGAUGGGCCCGCGGCCUAUCAGCUUGUUGGUGGGGUGAUGGCCUACCAAGGCGACGACGGGUAGCCGGCCUGAGAGGGCGACCGGCCACACUGGGACUGAGACACGGCCCAGACUCCUACGGGAGGCAGCAGGUGGGGAAUCUUGCGCAAUGGGCGAAAGCCUGACGGAGCGACGCCG